CCAAUAGCGUAUAUUAAAGUUGUUGCAGUUAAAAAGCUCGUAGUUGAAUUUCGGGGUCAGUAGUUUGGUCGUGCCACUGGUAUGUACUGGGCUCACUGAUUCCUCCUUCCUGAUGAACUGUAAUGCCAUUAAUUUGGUGUUGCAGGGAAACUGGACUGUUACUUUGAAAAAAUUAGAGUGUUUAAAGCAAGCUAACGCUUGAAUACAUUAGCAUGGAAUAAUGAAAUAGGACGUUCGAUCCUAUUUUGUUGGUUUCUAGGAUUGACGUAAUGAUUAAUAGGGAUAGUUGGGGGCAUUAGUAUUCAAUUGCCAGAGGUGAAAUUCUUGGAUUUAUUGAAGACUAACUACUGCGAAAGCAUUUGCCAAGGAUGUUUUCAUUAAUCAAGAACGAAAGUUAGGGGAUCGAAGACGAUCAGAUACCGUCGUAGUCUUAACCAUAAACUAUGCCGACUAGGGAUCGGAUGAUGUUAAUUUUUUAAUGACUCAUUCGGCGCCUUACG
rnacentral:rRNA from 1 species